GUGUGUGUAGUGUGCAGUGUUGUGUUGUGUGUAAUAGUGUUGUGUAGUGUUGUGUAGUGUUGUGUAGUGUGUAGUGUUGUGUAGUGUGUAAUAGUGUUGUGUAGUGUGUAGUGUUGUGUUGUGUGUAAUAGUGUUGUGUAGUGUUGUGUGUUGUUGUGUAGUGUGUAGUGUUGUGUAGUGUGUAAUAGUGUUGUGUGGCGUGUUGGUUGUAGUGUUGUGUAGUGUUGUGUAGUGUGUAGUGUUGUGUAGUGUGUAAUAGUGUUGUGUAGUGUUGUGUAGUGUUGUGUUGUGUGUAAUAGUAGUGUGUAGUGUUGUGUGGCGUG
ensembl:lncRNA